rnacentral:rRNA from 1 species
UAGUCCCUACGGGGGACAGCAGUAGGGAAUAUUGCUCAAUGGGGGAAACCCUGAAGCAGCAACGCCGCGUGGAGGAUGAAGGUUUUCGGAUUGUAAACUCCUUUUGUUAGAGAAGAUAAUGACGGUAUCUAACGAAUAAGCACCGGCUAACUCCGUGCCAGCAGCCGCGGUAAUACGGAGGGUGCAAGCGUUACUCGGAAUCACUGGGCGUAAAGAGCGCGUAGGCGGGAUAGCAAGUCAGAUGUGAAAUCCUAUGGCUUAACCUGGGAACCGCAUAUGUGACUGCUUGGCUAGAGUGCGUCAGG